GGUUAAGCGACUAAGCGUACACGGUGGAUGCCCUGGCAGUCAGAGGCGAUGAAGGACGUGCUAAUCUGCGAUAAGCGUCGGUAAGGUGAUAUGAACCGUUAUAACCGGCGAUUUCCGAAUGGGGAAACCCAGUGUGUUUCGACACACUAUCAUUAACUGAAUCCAUAGGUUAAUGAGGCGAACCGGGGGAACUGAAACAUCUAAGUACCCCGAGGAAAAGAAAUCAACCGAGAUUCCCCCAGUAGCGGCGAGCGAACGGGGAGCAGCCCAGAGCCUGAAUCAGUGUGUGUGUUAGUGGAAGCGUCUGGAAAGGCGCGCGAUACAGGGUGACAGCCCCGUACACAAAAAUGCACAUGCUGUGAGCUCGAUGAGUAGGGCGGGACACGUGGUAUCCUGUCUGAAUAUGGGGGGACCAUCCUCCAAGGCUAAAUACUCCUGACUGACCGAUAGUGAACCAGUACCGUGAGGGAAAGGCGAAAAGAACCCCGGCGAGGGGAGUGAAAAAGAACCUGAAACCGUGUACGUACAAGCAGUGGGAGCCUCUUUAUGGGGUGACUGCGUACCUUUUGUAUAAUGGGUCAGCGACUUAUAUUCUGUAGCAAGGUUAACCGAAUAGGGGAGCCGAAGGGAAACCGAGUCUUAACUGGGCGUUAAGUUGCAGGGUAUAGACCCGAAACCCGGUGAUCUAGCCAUGGGCAGGUUGAAGGUUGGGUAACACUAACUGGAGGACCGAACCGACUAAUGUUGAAAAAUUAGCGGAUGACUUGUGGCUGGGGGUGAAAGGCCAAUCAAACCGGGAGAUAGCUGGUUCUCCCCGAAAGCUAUUUAGGUAGCGCCUCGUGAAUUCAUCUCCGGGGGUAGAGCACUGUUUCGGCAAGGGGGUCAUCCCGACUUACCAACCCGAUGCAAACUGCGAAUACCGGAGAAUGUUAUCACGGGAGACACACGGCGGGUGCUAACGUCCGUCGUGAAGAGGGAAACAACCCAGACCGCCAGCUAAGGUCCCAAAGUCAUGGUUAAGUGGGAAACGAUGUGGGAAGGCCCAGACAGCCAGGAUGUUGGCUUAGAAGCAGCCAUCAUUUAAAGAAAGCGUAAUAGCUCACUGGUCGAGUCGGCCUGCGCGGAAGAUGUAACGGGGCUAAACCAUGCACCGAAGCUGCGGCAGCGACGCUUAUGCGUUGUUGGGUAGGGGAGCGUUCUGUAAGCCUGUGAAGGUGUGCUGUGAGGCAUGCUGGAGGUAUCAGAAGUGCGAAUGCUGACAUAAGUAACGAUAAAGCGGGUGAAAAGCCCGCUCGCCGGAAGACCAAGGGUUCCUGUCCAACGUUAAUCGGGGCAGGGUGAGUCGACCCCUAAGGCGAGGCCGAAAGGCGUAGUCGAUGGGAAACAGGUUAAUAUUCCUGUACUUGGUGUUACUGCGAAGGGGGGACGGAGAAGGCUAUGUUGGCCGGGCGACGGUUGUCCCGGUUUAAGCGUGUAGGCUGGUUUUCCAGGCAAAUCCGGAAAAUCAAGGCUGAGGCGUGAUGACGAGGCACUACGGUGCUGAAGCAACAAAUGCCCUGCUUCCAGGAAAAGCCUCUAAGCAUCAGGUAACAUCAAAUCGUACCCCAAACCGACACAGGUGGUCAGGUAGAGAAUACCAAGGCGCUUGAGAGAACUCGGGUGAAGGAACUAGGCAAAAUGGUGCCGUAACUUCGGGAGAAGGCACGCUGAUAUGUAGGUGAGGUCCCUCGCGGAUGGAGCUGAAAUCAGUCGAAGAUACCAGCUGGCUGCAACUGUUUAUUAAAAACACAGCACUGUGCAAACACGAAAGUGGACGUAUACGGUGUGACGCCUGCCCGGUGCCGGAAGGUUAAUUGAUGGGGUCAGCGCAAGCGAAGCUCUUGAUCGAAGCCCCGGUAAACGGCGGCCGUAACUAUAACGGUCCUAAGGUAGCGAAAUUCCUUGUCGGGUAAGUUCCGACCUGCACGAAUGGCGUAAUGAUGGCCAGGCUGUCUCCACCCGAGACUCAGUGAAAUUGAACUCGCUGUGAAGAUGCAGUGUACCCGCGGCAAGACGGAAAGACCCCGUGAACCUUUACUAUAGCUUGACACUGAACAUUGAGCCUUGAUGUGUAGGAUAGGUGGGAGGCUUUGAAGUGUGGACGCCAGUCUGCAUGGAGCCGACCUUGAAAUACCACCCUUUAAUGUUUGAUGUUCUAACGU
rnacentral:rRNA from 1 species